rnacentral:rRNA from 1 species
GUGCCAGCCGCCGCGGUAAUACGGAGGGUGCAAGCGUUGUCCGGAAUCACUGGGCGUAAAGGGUGCGCAGGCGGGGCAGCAAGUCGGAGGUGAAAGCCCGUGGCUCAACCACGGAAGUGCCUUCGAAACUGUUGCUCUUGAGUCCCGGAGAGGUUGCCGGAAUUCGUGGUGUAGCGGUGAAAUGCGUAGAUAUCAUGAGGAACACCAGAGGCGAAAGCGACUGGCUGGAUCGGGACUGACGCUGAGGCACGAAAGCGUGGGCAGCGAACAGGACUAGAUACCCUAGUAGUCC